AUAUGGUUUUCUAUCUUCUGUAGAGGUGCACAGGCAGUGAUGCCUGCAUCCAUGUGAGCAAGUUUCCUCUUCACUCCAGAAUUCCUGCUCAGAGUUCCAGGGAGCAGUCUUCUCUUUUUCAUUGAAAAAAGCAAAUAUGAAGUUGCUGCAUUUCAGCUGUCCCCAACCUGUUUGCUUUGGGUGGGGCUUCCUCUAAAACCCAGAGGUGUUCUGCAGCUUGAGCCAAUGUGUUGAAUGGAUUUAAGGACUGCUGGUCACUGUGUUUUCUCUCUUUCGGAAGUGAGCCGGUCCUUUGAGUCCCCACAGGAGCAGCUGAAUAAUGGGAGCACAUGGCAGGCACCUCCAUGUGCUGAAGACUGGGAAACAGACUUGCUGGAGGGAUCCGAGUCUACUUUUGUGUGGGGUGUGAUCAACUCUGCCAUGAAAAGCACCAUCAGUGACCAGAACAACUCCUUGCCCUCACGGAUGCGGCCCCCUGAGACCCUCCCGUACACCCUGUCUUCAGGCCUAAUUCGGAGUAUUAGUUCCUCCCCUUGCAAUCUAGUUUUGCCCCAGCAGUAAGUGUCUCCCAGGUUUGGAUGGGAGAGCUCCUGCAGAAGACAGACAUGCUCUGGACCUGAUGGCAGGACUCUACACUUGGCUUUUUUUGCAUAAUGUGUUUCUUGUUAUGUUUGAAUAUGUGGAACUGUCCAUGGUUACCAGCUGUUUCCCCCAACCAUUUGUUUUUAAAGUUACGCUCACCUUGCUGAAUUUUGUUACUGUUCUUGAAAAAAUGUACACAGAAACCUUCCCAGCCUAGCCCUGGGUCUUAGUGGCUCCCCGUGAACAGGAAAAAGAUCGUAGUUGCCAAGUCUCUGGUUUUUGUAACAGGCAAACUUAGAAGUAUUUUAUUGUGCAUGCAGUUUUUGUUUUUAUUUUGUUGGACUCUGAGUUUGUCCACUCAGAGUAUGGGAAGUGUUCAGGUUGGGUUUUAAACCGUGUUGUCAUUCGCAGAGACUGCUUUGAGAGCAUCCUGAGCUUAACUUUUGCACCUUCACACCUUAAGCCUUACCUUUGUCACCUUAGGCCUUACUUUUGUCUCCUGUGAGUGACUUCCCCAGCCAGACCUUAACAGAGAGUCCUCUGCAAGUUCCUUGCAUCACACACAACUCCAAACAGGGGAAGUUUCAGGAGGACACUGAGGUGCUUUUCCAGUUUCCAUUAGAGUUUUGCAGUUUUCUAAUGCUUGAAAGUUGUUUGAGAGCUCUCAGGUACCUGUUCUGUAUUAGGGGAGGAAGGGAGUAGGAAUGGUUUAAAUCAGUCAAAAUGCAUGUUUAGGACUGAAAAUGUUCAGAUCAAGCAGUAUCUUUCUAAACAUGCAAAGUACAAAACGGGAUCUAAAGAUACAGCCAUAAAGAAUUAAGCCAGACAUGGUGUUUGUCUAGAAAGGGAUUAAUUCCUUCUUAUUUUCCCCUAAAGACUGUAUUUCCACCAUCUGUAUACUAACACUAGAAAAUGGUACAUGUUGACUGGAAUGUGCAAAAUUAGGAUUCUUCUAAAGUUCUGUCAAUUUUUGUCAAGGUUCUAGUUGGAAAUUUAGAAUAAAAAUGUUUUAAAUGCCCUGAGACUGCUUUUC
ensembl:lncRNA